rnacentral:rRNA from 1 species
AGCAUUAUACAGCGAAACUGCGAAUGGCUCAUUAUAUAAGUUAUCGUUUAUUUGAUAGUACCUUACUACUUGGAUAACCGUGGUAAUUCUAGAGCUAAUACAUGCUAAAAAUCCCGACUCCGGAAGGGAUGUAUUUAUUAGAUUAAAAACCAAUGCCCUCUGGGCUCCUUGGUGAUUCAUAAUAACUUUUCGAAUCGCAUGGCCUUGCGCCGGCGAUGGUUCAUUCAAAUUUCUUCCCUAUCAACUUUCGAUGUUUGGGUAUUGGCCAAACAUGGUCGCAACGGGUAACGGAGGGUUAGGGCUCGACCCCGGAGAAGGAGCCUGAGAAACGGCUACUACAUCCAAGGAAGGCAGCAGGCGCGCAAAUUACCCAAUCCCGAUUCGGGGAGGUAGUGACAAUAAAUACUGAUACAGGGCUCUUUUGGGUCUUGUAAUUGGAAUGAGUACAAUUUAAAUCCCUUAACGAGGAACAAUUGGAGGGCAAGUCUGGUGCCAGCAGCCGCGGUAAUUCCAGCUCCAAUAGCGUAUAUUAAAGUUGUUGUGGUUAAAAAGCUCGUAGUUGAACCUUGGGCCUGGCUGGCCGGUCCGCCUCACCGCGUGCACUGGUCCGGCCGGGCCUUUCCCUCUGUGGAACCCCAUGCCCUUCACUGGGUGUGGCGGGGAAACAGGACUUUUACUUUGAAAAAAUUAGAGUGCUCCAGGCAGGCCUAUGCUCGAAUACAUUAGCAUGGAAUAAUGAAAUAGGACGUGUGGUUCUAUUUUGUUGGUUUCUAGGACCGCCGUAAUGAUUAAUAGGGACAGUCGGGGGCAUCAGUAUUCAAUUGUCAGAGGUGAAAUUCUUGGAUUUAUUGAAGACUAACUACUGCGAAAGCAUUUGCCAAGGAUGUUUUCAUUAAUCAGGAACGAAAGUUAGGGGAUCGAAGACGAUCAGAUACCGUCGUAGUCUUAACCAUAAACUAUGCCGACUAGGGAUCGGACGAUGUUAUUUUUUGACGCGUUCGGCACCUUACGAGAAAUCAAAGUGCUUGGGCUCCAGGGGA